rnacentral:rRNA from 1 species
AGUGAACGCUGGCGGUAGGCCUAACACAUGCAAGUCGAACGGCAGCACAGUAAGAGCUUGCUCUUACGGGUGGCGAGUGGCGGACGGUUGGGGAAUACAUCGGAAUCUACUUUUUCGUGGGGGAUAACGUAGGGAAACUUACGCUAAUACCGCAUACGACCUACGGGUGAAAGCAGGGGAUCUUCGGACCUUGCGCGAUUGAAUGAGCCGAUGUCGGAUUAGCUAGUUGGCGGGGUAAAGGCCCACCAAGGCGACGAUCCGUAGCUGGUCUGAGAGGAUGAUCAGCCACACUGGAACUGAGACACGGUCCAGACUCCUACGGGAGGCAGCAGUGGGGAAUAUUGGACAAUGGGCGCAAGCCUGAUCCAGCCAUACCGCGUGGGUGAAGAAGGCCUUCGGGUUGUAAAGCCCUUUUGUUGGGAAAGAAAAGCAGCAGGUUAAUACCCCGCUGUUCUGACGGUACCCAAAGAAUAAGCACCGGCUAACUUCGUG